GGCUCGUUUCCCCUUGCGCAGCCUCUGCUGUGGCACUGAGCAUGUGCUGGGCUCAUUGGCUUCCCAGAUGCCUCUCUCAGGAAGACAGGCCCACCCAUGGCCAUAGCAUCCAUACUGUGCACACCGUGGAAAGAGUACUCUCUUUGUGCCUUGAAGCUUGGAAUCACUGGAUUAUUGAACUAUUCUACCAUUUCCCCAAAGACGGCUGAAGCAGGAAGCGUUCCUGUAGUGGAAAGGACACAAAUUGUGAGCACAAAGAGCCUCCAUUUGAAUGCUGGUUCUUCCACUUACUAACUGUGUGACCUUGGAAUAAAUAACUAAAGACGUACGGAAGUUGUUCACGGACCAGAUACAGCAGAACCACUGUCCUUGAGACGGCCAAAUGGGUGUCUCCCCUGGGAAGAACCUGCUGAAGAAAAACUGUAGACUGAGGAGCUGAAUAUGGCCCAGUUUUCCUGGUGGUCUUAAUUACUGAACCAGUUUGAUUACAUGGUUAAUCAAAUCAACUGCACAUUACUUUAAAUGGCUGGGGGGGCGGGGGAAGCACAUUGAUCCUUUUUUGUAAGUGGUAGUUUAUGUCAAACAAACGUGGUCUUUCGUAAGUAUCUUCAGGGGAUGAAAUUUAAUAUUGUUCUUUGAUAAAAUUUUCCAAUGAUUAAAUGCCUUAAAAUCCAAA